UACGGAGGAUCCAAGCGUUUAUCCGGAAUCAUUGGGUUUAAAGGGUCCGUAGGCGGUUUAAUAAGUCAGUGGUGAAAGCCCAUCGCUCAACGGUGGAACGGCCAUUGAUACUGUUAAACUUGAAUUAUUAGGAAGUAACUAGAAUAUGUAGUGUAGCGGUGAAAUGCUUAGAGAUUACAUGGAAUACCAAUUGCGAAGGCAGGUUACUACUAAUGGAUUGACGCUGAUGGACGAAAGCGUGGGUAGC
rnacentral:rRNA from 1 species